ACAGCAGCCUAUAUACAGUAGAGUCUCACUCAUCCAAGCUAAACGGGCCGGCAGAAGCUUGGAUAAGCGAAUAUCUUGGAUAAUAAAGAGGGAUUAAGGAAAAGCCUAUUAAACAUCAAAUUAGGUUAUGAUUUUACAAACUAAGCACCAAAACAUCAUGUUUUACAACAAAUUUGACAGAAAAAGUAGCUCAAUACACAGUAAUGUUAUGUAGUAAUUACUGUAUUUACGAAUUUAGCACCAAAAUAUCAUGAUAUAUUGAAAACAUUGACUACAAAAAUGGCUUGGAUUAUCCAGAGGCUUGGAUAAGCGAGGCUUGGAUAAGUGAGACUCUACUGUACAUAGCCUAAUGGCAUUUGUAUACACAUCUUUUGAAUAACUGCGCUAUCCUCCAAUCGCAACCCACGCUCCUCUUUCGUCCCGCCUUUUUCUGUCAACACUAAGUGGGCGGGCAUAGCGAGGAAUUGACGAAUCAAACGCACGCAUCGUUUGGCUCGCUAGGGGCGGGGCGAAAGAAAGCCGGCUUUCCUUCUUUAGCCACUCACGAGACGGCAGGUCACCCCGUCAGCCAAUGAGAGGCCUUCUCUAGUUACCCUUUUUUGUGUGUGAGUGUGGACAGCGUCUGCAACCAAGCAUGACUGCAGAAGGGUGAAGGGGCGGGGCAUGGAAAUUCCCUCAGCUUGGCGAGGGACCAAUAGGAAGGAGGCAGCGGUGUCACGGCGUCACGCUAUUGGGUACGUUAGGAGCUAAGGGGCGGGCUUGAGAGCUCGGUGUGCGGCGGAGAGGUAGGGUGCGCCUCUGUGGGGAUGAGGCGAAGGAGGCGGCAGACGCACGAAGGAGCCAAAGGAAGCGGAUGGUCAUCUGUUCUGGAUUUAACUCAGGAGAACAUGGAUGAAGAAUCAUUAACUCAUUCUUGGAGCUGGGGCCUUGUAGUGGAAUCUUAUAAUUCCUUUUCAGUUACUAUGAAAAUUUGGCUAUUCUGAAGAUUCUUCCUUACAGU
rnacentral:lncRNA from 1 species